AUUUGCAUAUGAAUCGUUGAAAACUAUGGUCCAGAUUGCAGUAAAUUGUCUUGAUAAAGAACCGAGCAGAAGGCCAUCAAUUGAAGAUGUUCUUUGGCAUAUGCAAUACUCAAUUCAGGUUCAAGAAGGAGCAACCAACAGUGGAAACCUCAGUGGGAACCUCAGUGGGAAAGUCAGUGGAAACCUUAGCAAUAAGUUUUACUGAUAGAGAACUGGCAUGAUAUAGUUUUUACCUUGUUAUAGUCAUUUGUAUGCCUCCUGUAUAGCGCAGUUCAGUAGCUUACUGAAUAAAUGUUUUUGUUUUCUCCAUCAUAAUAGCACCCAAGUAUACAAAGCAUAUAUUGUUAGUUGAGAAUCUAUACUGGGAUCUCAGAGAAAACUUGCUUGCAUCCGGUGUUUACACCAACUUAAUGAGUACCAAAAUAUGUCUUUCUCAUACAUUGUUAUCACUAAAUCAUAGUUAAUUAAUACACAUUCUUACCUCACUUAUUCACUUAAC
rnacentral:lncRNA from 1 species